rnacentral:piRNA from 1 species
UCGAUGUUUUUUCUGACUUUU